AGUAGACGUUCAGAGUUUGAUCCUGGCUCAGGACGAACGCUGGCGGCGUGCUUAACACAUGCAAGUCGAGCGGUAAGGCCUUUCGGGGUACACGAGCGGCGAACGGGUGAGUAACACGUGAGUAAUCUGCCCUUCACUUUGGGAUAAGCACCGGAAACGGUGUCUAAUACCGGAUAUGAGCGCAUCGCGCAUGUGGUGUGUUGGAAAGUUUUUUCGGUGGGGGAUGUGCUCGCGGCCUAUCAGCUUGUUGGUGGGGUAAUGGCCUACCAAGGCUUCGACGGGUAGCCGGCCUGAGAGGGUGACCGGCCACACUGGGACUGAGACACGGCCCAG
rnacentral:rRNA from 1 species